rnacentral:rRNA from 1 species
CCUACGGGAGGCAGCAGUGGGGAAUCUUAGACAAUGGGCGCAAGCCUGAUCUAGCCAUGCCGCGUGAGUGAUGAAGGCCCUAGGGUCGUAAAGCUCUUUCGCCAGAGAUGAUAAUGACAGUACCUGGUAAAGAAACCCCGGCUAACUCCGUGCCAGCAGCCGCGGUAAU